GGGGGAAAGGCCUGGAAACUGGGUAUAAUACCCGAUAGAUCUAGGGAUGCUGGAAUGCUUUUAGAUCUAAAGUUCCGACGCCUCAGGAUGGGUCUGCGGCCUAUCAGGGUAGUAGUAGGUGUAACGUACCUACUAGCCUACGACGGGUACGGGUUGUGAGAGCAAGAGCCCGGAGAUGGAUUCUGAGACACGAAUCCAGGCCCUACGGGGUGCAGCAGGCGCGAAACCUUUACAAUGCUGGCAACAGCGAUAAGGGGACCUCGAGUGCCACGAUACAAUCGUGGCUGUCUAGUUGCCUAAAAAGCAAUUGAUAGCAAGGGCCGGGCAAGACCGGUGCCAGCCGCCGCGGUAACACCGGCGGCUCGAGUGGUAACCGCUAUUAUUUGGUCUAAAGGGUCUGUAGCCGGCUUAGUCAGUCUUUUGAGAAAUCUGGCCGCUCAACGGUCAGGCGUUCAGGGGAUACUGCUAAAGCUCGAGACCGGGAGAGGUGAGAGGUACUUCAGGGGUAGGGGUGAAAUCUUGUAAUCCUUGAAGGACCACCAGUGGCGAAGGCGUCUCACCAGAACGGAUCUGACGGCAAGGGACGAAAGCUAGGGGCACGAACCGGAUUAGAUACCCGGGUAGUCCUAGCCGUAAACGAUACUCGCUAGGUGUCGGCCACGGUGCGACCGUGGUCGGUGCCGUAGGGAAGCCGUGAAGCGUCCCAC
rnacentral:rRNA from 1 species